CCGACGUCGCAUGCUCCCGGCCGCCAUGCGGCCGCGGGAAUUCGAUUCGUGUUACCGCGGCUGCUGGCACGGAGUUAGCCGGGGCUUCUUCUCUCGGUACCGUCACUCUCCCGGAUUAUUCAGCCGAAGCCGUUCUUCCCGAUCGAAAGGAGUUUACGACCCGAAGAUCUUCGUCCUCCACGCGGCGUUGCGUCGUCAGGCUUGCGCCCAUUGCGGACAAUUCCCCACUACUGCCUCCCGUAGGAGUCUGGGCCGUGUCUCAGUCCCAGUGUGUCCGUCCGCCCUCUCAGGCCGGAUACCGAUCGUUGCCUUGGUGAGCCGUUACCCCACCAACUAGCUAAUCGGCCGCGGGCCCCUCUUCAAGCGCCAGGUCUUACGAUCCCCAGCUUUAAUCACCGCGUUUCCAAACGCAGGAUGUCAUGCGGUAUUAGCGCCCCUUUCGGGACGUUAUCCCCCACUCGAAGGCAGGUCACCCACGUGUUACUCACCCGUUUGCCACUCUACUUACCCCUUGCGGGGCUUUCGCGUUCGACUUGCAUGUGUUAGGCACGCCGCCAGCGUUGAUUCUGAGCCAUGAUCAAACUCUAUCACUAGUGAAUUCGCGGCCGCCUGCAGGUCGACCAUAUGGGAGAGCCCCC
rnacentral:rRNA from 1 species